GGAGAGCACCACCACCAGCCAUCCAGUCAGAAGCCAAACGUCCUCGUGUCUAACAGCUUCCACAGCGAUCUCACCAGCGGUAUAAUCUGGUCGACAAGAUGAGGACGGUUCCUAAGGCCUUAGCGCUCCUGACAGCGAUAGUGGUCGUUACUGUGGUUUUCUUCAACCGUCCAGUUGUGCGAGACGACCACAGGAAUAGAAAAGACAACUAUUCUGCUCUCCAGAAACAAAUGGAGGAGCUUCAGGUGGGUCACCAGAGGGCGACUGUGCUGCUCAACAAGCUGCUGUGUCAGGCAAACCAGGUGCUGCCAUCAGGCGGUUUCUGUCUUCAUAACAACAAAUUAGUUGUUGGUGGUAACCACUUGUGGAGU